rnacentral:rRNA from 1 species
AACGAACGCUGGCGGCAGGCUUAACACAUGCAAGUCGAACGCUCACCUUCGGGUGGGAGUGGCAGACGGGUGAGUAACGCGUGGGAACGUACCCUUUGGUUCGGAAUAACCCAGGGAAACUUGGGCUAAUACCGGAUACGCCCUUCGGGGGAAAGGUUUACUGCCGAAGGAUCGGCCCGCGUCGGAUUAGCUAGUUGGUGGGGUAAAAGCCUACCAAGGCGACGAUCCGUAGCUGGUCUGAGAGGAUGAUCAGCCACACUGGGACUGAGACACGGCCCAGACUCCUACGGGAGGCAGCAGUGGGGAAUAUUGGACAAUGGGCGCAAGCCUGAUCCAGCCAUGCCGCGUGAGUGAAGAAGGCCUUAGGGUUGUAAAGCUCUUUCAGCGGGGAAGAUAAUGACGGUACCCGCAGAAGAAGCCCCGGCUAACUUCGUGCCAGCAGCCGCGGUAAUACGAAGGGGGCUAGCGUUGUUCGGAAUUACUGGGCGUAAAGCGCGCGUAGGCGGGUGAUUAAGUCAGGGGUGAAAUGCCGAGGCUCAACCUCGGAACUGCCUUUGAUACUGGUCGCCUGGAGUUCGGGAGAGGUAAGUGGAAUUCCGAGUGUAAAGGUGAAAUUCGUAGAUAUUCGGAGGAACACCAGAAGCGAAGGCGGCUUACUGGCCCGAUACUGACGCUGAGG